AUGCACCCUGUAGUGCUCCCUGUUCCCUUUAAAGAUCGGCUGCACACAAGGGCAGCAUGCAAAAUAGAGAGCCCUCCGUCCCCAGGACAGCAUCUGGCUUUGGAAAGUCCUGCUGGCCGAGCCUCUAGGCAGGUGUGCAGCCCAGUCUCUUUUUUUGUGAGCAGCAUCAAGUCCUUAGUCUCUUUGAGGAGGGGGGCAAAUUCCACCACACAAAGGCUCAGAAAGCAUCUGGCCAUUAAAAUGAACUAGGUGAGUGGGUGGAUUCAAUGCUACCCUUGAUGAAGACCCCAAAUGUGUAAUUCUGAGCCGCUUUGAUGGAAGGGUUGAAUAUAGCAGCGUCAAGUCCUUAGUCUCUUUGAGGAGGGGGGCAAAUUCCACCACACAAAGGCUCAGAAAGCAUCUGGCCAUUAAAAUGAACUAGGUGAGUGGGUGGAUUCAAUGCUACCCUUGAUGAAGACCCCAAAUGUGUAAUUCUGAGCCGCUUUGAUGGAAGGGUUGAAUAGAAUUGCAGAGCUGGCCCAAGACCUUUGUUUCUGCCCGAAGCAAUGGACAAGAUGAUACUUUCCUCCAGGCUGUGUAUAAAAGCCAAGAAAAACUGCUACUCAAAGUGUAGAAAAAAGGUGCAAACUUUUGAGCUCUUUGGAUCUUUCCAUCAGACAGAAGGCUUGAAAAACAGGUACAGAAGGAGGAAAUUAACAGUGCGAUGGGAUGUUGCAGUUAGGCUGUCUGCAUGAUGACACUUGCAGAUGGAGGAGGAAGGAAGGAUCUGCAUCACUUCAAAUGAGGUUCUGAAGCUUCCAGGCAUACAUCAGCCCAUCUUCUAUAAUCUUGUUAUAAAUCCAGUUGCUUACUGUCUGGAGUGGAACAAGCCUCCCUGUUGUCAUGCACUACUGGCGGAUUUCUCCAACAGAACUUCUCUUGUUUGCAUCCAUUGUCAGAAUGAUUGUCUGGAGCAUCACACUUACGCCCACACACUGGACACUUCAGAAGAACAUGUUUGUGCUUCUCUUCCUUCCUCGCUAUGAGGAAAGCUGGGUGAAGAUUUCAGGGCCACAAGUUCUCUCGGGCAAUCUGAAAGCUGAGGUCAACAAACAAUGACCAAGAACUAUGGAUGAACUGAAGCCUGCGAAUACACCAAGAAAUGGCAGCAACACCCCCGCAGAAGACCUGCUGGGUGACACGAAACUUCACAAAUGGACUACAAAUGUGUAUCGCAAAUGAGGGCCACCAUCUGGAUGAUGUCAUUUUCAAAACCCCUUGAAAACAAACUGCAUUCCAUGCACUCAUUCUUAGUUCAUGUAAUAAAAUUUGAAUCGUAUUGCCUUUUUUGUUGACC
rnacentral:lncRNA from 1 species